CCGGCUCGGUGGCCCCCGGGAACCGCUCCGGGCUCUCCCCGCGGGGUAGGCGUGCCGAGGCCGGGUGCCUGGCCGGGCGCGGGGCUCAGAAGCGAUCCCCGAGCGGUGCGGACGCCUCCGAGGCCCCGGAACGUGCGGUUCGGCCCCUGCGCUCCUGUCGUCGCCGGCGCCGGGCCAGAGUGGUGGCUGAGGAACUGCGGCGGGGGCUGCCGGGGCGACGGAGGACCGCGCCGCGCCGCGCGUUGCAGCACAGCGGCCCCGGGGCGCCCGGGCGGGCAAAAAGUACCAAGCUCGUGUUCUCGGAGGCCCGCGGCGGCAGGGACACCAGCCGCACGCCGGGGUCCUCAGUCGGCGGAUCCCGUUCAGGGGAAAGCGUGGGGCAGAUGCUGCGCUGUGGACUAAGGCCGUUGAGCACUAGGGCCUUUCGUUAAAACAGAACUUUAAUGCGGUUUGUAAAGGGCUGCCCUAGCAGUAGACGCGGGCCACGGCAAAGCUACCAUUAAUCACGACAGGUGAGGUCCAGGAAACUCGGGGCAGUCGUGUGUCGGCGGCAGCUCGGCCAGCUGGGGGCGCUGCGCGGGCCCCGGCGAGCUCCCUCACGGAAGCCCUGAGAUCGUCUUUAAGAGGUUAUGGAAAUGCGAGACGUGGAGCACGACGUGAGAGGGGAGUAACACGGCCUCGGGAGAGCGUUGGUCAGACUGAGGACCCAAGACGUGCCUGGGAUUCUGCGGAGAAGCAGGACUCCCGGGGAGAGGAGACCGAAUGCACGGACUGCAUCGUCCUGAGAAAAGGCAUGUUCGAAAUGAAGUAUUAGGAAUUGAUUUGCUUAUUGCACUUGGAGGCUCCCCUCACCGCGCAAGCCAUUCAUUGCCUUCCUCAGUGUUAGAUGGCACCAGAAGCGCACGGGACCGCUUUCAGUGAGAGAUGAAGAACCAGCGUGAGGGAAGUGAAGAGCUCUGCAGGGACUCCAGGCCGGCCGGGCCGGAUUCGUUAAGGCCUUGGCAGUAGCCUCUUUGAUUCCCUGUCCGGUACCACCAGCAGCUGUUGAAUCCGGGAUCCUUUAGACAGCGCUGCCUGAGCUGGCCCCUUCCUGCCCAUCUGGACUCGCCUCCCGCCCCGAGUCUCAGACGCCCAAUCAGCAUCGCUUGCCAUUCAUUCCUGAGUUCCCUGCCUCCCUGCCUACGUCUGUAUUAUUCGUUCUUGUGAAAGUGCUUUCCUUCACCACUUGGCCAAAAAACUUUUUUCAUUCAGGACCCACUUCAAGCAUCCUUGCUGAAAACUCUUCCCCUAAUUUCUCAAGCAGAACAUCUUUGAGUCUAAACCACUUUGAACAUGCCCCAAUUAUAGGACUUAGCUCAUUGCAUUGGAAUUAUUUGUAUUCCAUGCCCAGUUUUAAAGCCCACCAACCAAAAACAGCCAGGAGCAUACCUGCAAAAAGUUAAGUAAUGGUAUCUCCUGUCAGGUGCUCAACCAAGUGCUGUGACAAAGGUGAAAUAAGGAGCCUCCGCAUGACUUUUCCAGACCGAGUCUUUGGAAGACGCUUCACUACCUGGAAAGGAAGGGGUGCACCAUUCAAGUUUGGGUGGUGCCCAGACUCCCUGCAGCAUCCAAGUGUGUUGGGAUAAGAAGGGCUCUGCCCAGCAGAUGACACCCUCACUAAGAACUCAGUAAUGAAUGACUGAGGUGCCCGACUCACCCCAGAGAUCAUGGGGGUCUGUGAUUUCUGGUUUUAUCUUCCCACAAAUCUGGACAUAAACUGAAAUCUACCUGAAGGUCAGAAUCAACCAUAUGUUAGAUUUUGCUGAAGCCCUCAUUCAGGCAGGGUCUGCCCAUACCGUGGUUACCUCACUGCCAAUACCUCUGUCUUCCGUUUCCUACAUUGCUGAGGGCUCCCAGGUAGCAAAAGAACCAAACACAGGCCAUGGCAACUUGUCUCCGCCUACGGGCCUGAACCAACACUGCUUUUUGCUGACAUAAGAGCUACUUUAGAGAAAAACGUUGUCUUGUUCAGCAUUUGAACAGUUUACAUUUAACAUUUUCAUACAACCACAGCCUCUUUUAUGUCAAGAGCAAUACGCUAAGAGCUGUGUUUGGGGCUCAUUGAACAGUUACUCAUCUUUUGAAAGGGUUGGUUCACCUAGGGGAGCUCAAGUCUCCCUGAAACUCUGGUCCAGGCCAACAGCUUGACUUUGUAUCACACCAGGUAAGGCUGAGGCUGCUCCCACCUCAGAGGGCCACCUCUGAACCAAGGAAGGCUGUGGGGGAAGUGUUAACAAAGAGGAAUGGAAACCUAAUGGGGCUAGAAAGGUGGCCCCAUUCUUCCCCAGACCCAACUCCAACACAGAUUCCCUCAGAAAGGGGUCUGGCAAUAUCUCCUGCACUGACAUCAGGAGAUGUGUUCAGAAACCACACGGGCUGGGGAAAGCUGGCACUUUCCACAUGUUUCUUUAGUUAAAAUCUCUAAUUUUUAGAAGAUAGAGACUUACACUAAUGAGAGGAUGGAAGAAUUUAUCCCAAAUGAAAUAAUAUAAGGCCACAGCCAGAAAUCUAAAUGAAACAGAUAUAAGUAAUGUGUGAUGUAGAUUUUAAAGAGACAAUCAUAAGGAUACUCACUAGAUUUGAGAAAGAAUAGAAGACUUCAAUGAGAACUUUACCACAGAAAUAAAAGAGUUAAAAAAGAAUCCUAGAUGAAGAAUGCAAUACACAAGAUUGGAAAGGCAUGAUACAAUUAACAGCAGACUGGAAGAAGCAAAGUAACCAAAUCAGUGACCUAGAAGACAAAAUAGUGGAAAAUAUGCUGAACAAAAGAAAAAAUUAAGAAACGAGAACAGACUUCAGGAACUCAGUGACACCAACAAAUGUAAUAACAUUUGUAUUAUAGGAGUCCCAGAAGAAGAGAGAAAAAAGGGGGCAGAAAAUUUGUUUGAAGAAAUAAUAGCAAAAAACUUCCCUAAGCUAGAGAAGGAAACAAACAUCCAGAUCAGGAGGCACAGAGAACUCCCAACAAAUUCAACAAAAACAGGCCAGCACUAACAUGCUAUAAUUAAACCUGCAAAAUAUAGUGGUAGAGAAAAAUCUUAAAAGCAUCAAGAGGGAUCCCUGGGUGGCGCAGCAGUUUGGCGCCUGCCUUUGGCCCAGGGCGCAAUCCUCGAGACCCGGGAUCAAAUCCCACAUCGGGCUCCUGGUGCAU